GCGUUCUUAGCUCAGUUGGUAGAGUGCUAUCCUGACUUGAUAGAGGUCGAUGGUUCAAAUCCAUCAGGACGCA
rnacentral:tRNA from 1 species